GUGGGGAAUCUUGCGCAAUGGGCGAAAGCCUGACGCAGCCAUGCCGCGUGGAUGAUGAAGGUCUUAGGAUUGUAAAAUCCUUUCACCGGUGAAGAUAAUGACUGUAGCCGGAGAAGAAGCCCCGGCUAACUUCGUGCCAGCAGCCGCGGUAAUACGAAGGGGGCUAGCGUUGCUCGGAUUUACUGGGCGUAAAGGGCGCGUAGGCGGACAUUUAAGACAGGGGUGAAAUCCCGGGGCUCAACCUCGGAACUGCCUUUGAUACUGGGUGUCAUGAGUAUGAGAGUAGUGUGUGGAACUCCGAGUGUAGAGGUGAAAUUCGUAGAUAUUCGGAAGAACACCAGUGGCGAAGGCGACACACUGGCUCAUUACUGACGCUGAGGCGCGAAAGCGUGGGGAGCAAACAGGAUUAGAAACCCCGGUAGUCC
rnacentral:rRNA from 1 species